rnacentral:rRNA from 1 species
GAUGAACGCUGGCGGCGUGCCUAAUACAUGCAAGUCGAGCGAACAGACGAGGAGCUUGCUCCUCUGACGUUAGCGGCGGACGGGUGAGUAACACGUGGAUAACCUACCUAUAAGACUGGGAUAACUUCGGGAAACCGGAGCUAAUACCGGAUAAUAUAUUGAACCGCAUGGUUCAAUAGUGAAAGACGGUUUUGCUGUCACUUAUAGAUGGAUCCGCGCCGCAUUAGCUAGUUGGUAAGGUAACGGCUUACCAAGGCGACGAUGCGUAGCCGACCUGAGAGGGUGAGCGGACACUGGGAAAGGGAGACGGGGCACAGACUCACAGGGGGGGGAGCAGUAGGGAAUCCGCCGCAAUGGGCGAAAGCCAGACGGAGCAACGCCGCGAGAGGGGAGAAUGGCUUCGGAUCAAAAAACUGUGUUAUGAGGGAAGAAAAAAUGUGAAAAUAACGACGCACGUCGAGACGGUACAUAAAGAGAACGCCACGGCUAAACA